GUCUUCGCGCAGGGGAGUCCUCUUCAAUUUGGUAAGGGUGAUUCCCGAACCGUCCUAUAUUUUGCCCGUGAUAUGAUUGUACAGACCACACAGAGAAUACAGCCCAUAGGCAACAAAAAACGAGACGGGAGUAAUGCGCCCCCAAGUGCACCACGAGAAAACGUUGGAGCGAUUUAGCGUUGGAGCGAUCGGGCACGGAGGGGAACUCAAACAAAGAGGGGUCCGGUCAUGGUCAGGUGGUCACAGACCACCAGCCGGUGAAAUUAUAGACCACCCAUUCACCCAAGUUAACGGGGAAGAAAUUUAUGUCGAACGUUGUAUCGCGCCAGGAAGGGAUUAGCAAACAGAACAGGCAACGAGAGUGUCCAGUCACCGAUGUCGUUCGAAUGAGAAAGAAGCGGAACAAAAGGAAGAUGAUUGCGCCAAUCGAAAACAACAUGCCCGCCCACAUGCCACAUCAGGAUGUAAAAUGGCGGUGAUGAUGAUGAUGCGGAUAAGACGUGAGGUUUUCCGAUGUUUUAGUCAAUCAGUCAGUCAGUCAGUCAGUCAGUCCAACAAUAUGCAGCACAUAUAAGAUAUUAUAUCGCCAGUUGGCGGAUAGUAGUAAUCGUUCAUUAUGUUUUUUUGAUGUUCGAUGAAUAUUUUUUUGAAAGUUUGACAGUAGUAGUUGUAGAAAUGAUGUUUUAGCCAUUUUUUUCAUUCAACGUGUAUUCCGGUGGUAUCAAAAAAUGAAAAUGAGUUGAUGGAAGCCAUUUGGCAGAGCCAUGCGCAAGCGAAUCAUGCAAAGGGGUUAGGGAAAGGAAAAAACACAAGCAAUUUGUUAGUAAAACUGUUAUUAUCAUUACCAUAACCGUCAUUAUUAAACAUUUACCCUUGAUUCACUUGGUGUUGACGCUUAGUUCUUUGUUUCGUCGUCACAUUCGAAACGACAGUUAAUGAUCUUCCUGCUCAUGUCCCUAAUAUCAUUAGUAGGUGCUACCUAUACUACAGUGUGAUAGAACCAAUGACUACACACUUCCCGCGCUCUUGAUCCUUCCAUUGUAACACAAUCAAGUCACACUAUAAACGGGUAAAGAAGCGCCUUAAAAACUACACCUAGGCUUAUUCUCCAUCUACCCGUAACUGGCGAUAAAUCGAUGCAUAGAGCUCCAUUCACGUGGCUUUCGUCCACAGCCGUUCGUACCCUACUGUGUUUUUGGGUGCGUUUACGCCUGUUUACGAUGAUGUUCAAGUUUGCGCAUCACGACGAAACGUAUGGCAUAAGUUAUCGUUAUAACUAAACUGGGCCGUUUGUUAUUCGAGCUAACUUCGUUUUGAUCAAUUUAUUAAUAACUAUUAGUUCAGUCAAUGUCAUCGUUGGCAAUAUUAGUUCCUGCUUGAAUUAUGUCUCUAGGUUGCUUGGCUGCGUGUGAAUUCUGUGAGUUGGGCUGGGUAAUUAUAAGAGGUUAUUAUAUAUGAGCCUAUUGGUUAAAUGUUGUAUGUGGGUGUGGAAAACAAGGACAUCAUGUCUAUAUAUAAUAUCAGUUGAUUACGAAAGAAAGUCACGAAGAUACGAAUUAGUUCUAUUUAAAAAGCUGGUAAAAACAAUGCUACGGAGCCGAGUGGAGAGGGGCGGAAGCGGGAUACUGGGAUAAAGGGGAACAGAAAAUACGAUAUAAACUAAUGUAAAUUUGUUUGGAUAGUGGGAAAAAUGUGACCAGUACGACUAUAAUGAAAACAGUUACUUAGGACGCUGUAUUCGAUGUAAUUGAAUAACAACAACGAGAUGAGCUGGUCAACAGUAAAAAAACAACAAGAUACUUAGAAAGCCUAAAAUGGCUAUCUGUGUAUUAUACAAUGACGUGAAAAUGGCUGUACCAUUGUAAGUGACGGAUACACUAAUAGCUGAUAAUAGUGAGAAACGUGCCACUGGCAAUCAACAGACUUCCUCCAACAGCACAGCGCCUUCUAUGGCAUUCUGUGUAUAUAUAGAAUAAUGAUGCACGUCACGCAGGAGACUAUAGCGUUAUCCUCUAAGGGUGAACACUGUUCACUUGAAGUUUCCCACUGGGUGCUCGUGAGCGCGGGAGGCAUUCCCAGAUGCUGGCGUACACCCACCGAUCGCGCGACAUUGCCUCAUUCGCUGAUGAGGUCUUACAAGGAGUAAGCGUUAAUACGAAAGGCAUACUCUAAUAUUAACGUUUUUUCGCUGUUUUUCGUCUAGCCAACAUGGCCACCUGAACUUACGUCUUCAACCUGGGACCUUCUGAGAGACUCAUCAGGCUGGCUCCUGCGAUGGGCCCCGGUGCCUGCAGCUUUCAAGUCCAUGGGGAGCAUGACGGCGACCCCACCAAUAGGUUUCUGUGCGCAUGCAACGAAUACGCGACAAAACCAGUCAGAUAUAUGCUAAUAAAAACACAGUCCUUUUACAUGACCUCACAGAAUAUAUCGAAUCGUACUCCCUGAUAGAACGACACGCUUGAUCUGUCUGAUCUAUAUUGUACUUUCGUAUUGGCAGACAGCGAGCGAACGUGAAGAUGAGUCGAAGAAAGCGAGGCAAGGAUAGUAUACACACCUUGUUCUUUCCCUGUGGAUCUCCAUCAGCCGGCGUUGGCGAGGUUAGGUC